AUUAUAUUUAAUUAUUUAAUUAUUUUAAAAAUUGAAAUAAUAUUUUUUUUUAAAAAAAAUAAUUUAAAAUUUAAUUUAGUUAUAGUAGUUUUUAAUGAAUUAAUAAUUUUAAUUAUAUUGAUAUGUACUGAAAAGGAAUAAUUUAAUUAAGUUUAAAAGAAUUUUUAAUUUAAUGUAUCUUUUGUAUCAGAGGUUAUUUAAAAAAUUAUAUUUAUUAUAUAUAUCUCGAAAUUAAAUGAUUUAUAAUUAUAUUAUAGUUAAUGUUGAAUUAUUAUUAUGAAUAUAAUUAUGGUAAUGAAAAGUUAUUCGUAUUUAUUUAUAUCUAGUUUUUUAAGAAAUAAAUUUAAUUUAGAUAUUUUAUGAAGAUUUUAAUAUUUAUUAUUUUAUUCUUAUUAAAAUAUUAAUAAUUUAUGAGAUAAAUUGUAAAUUAUAUAGUUAUAAUUAAUUUUUAAAUAUUUAAUUUUUUAAUUAAUAAAAUUUUAUUAAGAUUGAUAAUAUAAUAGUUUAUAAAUUGUAUGAAAUAAAAUUUAAAUUUAGUUUAAUUAUUUAUUGAAAUAUUUGAGUUAAUUAAUUAUUUAAAUUAAUUAUGAUUAUAUUAGUAUAGAUUUUAAUUUAUAUAAUUUAUAAAUUUUGAUAUUUUAAAUUUAUGAAUUCGGCAAAAUAAAUUAUUCAACUGUUUAAUAAAUACAUUUCUUUUUGUAAAGAUAAAAAGUAAGACCUGCUCAAUGAAUUUAAAUUUAAAUAGCUGCAGUAUUUUGACUGUACAAAGGUAGCAUAAUCAAUUGCUUUUUAAAUGGAAGCUAGAAUGAAAGGUUUCAUGAAAUAAUUACUUUAUUAAAUUAAUAUUAUAAAAUUUUAUAUUUUAGUUAAAAAGCUAAAAUAUUAUUAAAAGACGAGAAGACCCUAUAGAUUUUUAUUAUAUAUAUAUUAAUUAUAUUAUUAUAAUAAUAUUAUUAUUAUAUUUAUAAUUUUAUUGGGAGGAUAAUUUAAUUUAAAAAACUUAAUUUAAUUUUAACUUUAAUUUAAGAAAAUUUAAGGAUCCAUUUAAAUAAUGAAUAUAAGAUUAAAUUACCUUAGGGAUAACAGCAUAAUUUUUUUUUUUAGAUCUUAUAUAUAAAAGAGAUUAUGACCUCGAUGUUGAAUUAAAAUAAAAUAUAAAUGAAGAAUUUUAUAAUUUAGGUCUGUUCGACCUUUAAAAUUUUACAUGAUUUGAGUUUAGAUCGGCGUAAGCCAGAUCAGUUUCUAUCUUUAAAUAAAAAAAAUUAUUAUUGUACGAAAGGACUUAAUAAUUAAAUUAUAAAUUUAAAAUUUUAUUUUAUUAUAAAUUAAUUUUUUUUAAAAAAAUA
rnacentral:rRNA from 1 species